AGUCGAGCGAGUCUGCCUUGAAGAUCGGAGUGCUUGCACUCUGUGAAACAAGAUACAGGCUAGCGGCGGACGGGUGAGUAACACGUGGGUAACCUGCCCAAGAGAUCGGGAUAACACCUGGAAACAGAUGCUAAUACCGGAUAACAACAGAUGAUGCCUAUCAACUGUUUAAAAGAUGGUUCUGCUAUCACUCUUGGAUGGACCUGCGGUGCAUUAGCUAGUUGGUAGGGUAACGGCCUACCAAGGCGAUGAUGCAUAGCCGAGUUGAGAGACUGAUCGGCCACAUUGGGACUGAGACACGGCCCAAACUCCUACGGGAGGCAGCAGUAGGGAAUCUUCCACAAUGGACGCAAGUCUGAUGGAGCAACGCCGCGUGAGUGAAGAAGGGUUUCGGCUCGUAAAGCUCUGUUGUUGGUGAAGAAGGACAGGGGUAGUAACUGACCUUUGUUUGACGGUAAUCAAUUAGAAAGUCACGGCUAACUACGUGCCAGCAGCCGCGGUAAUACGUAGGUGGCAAGCGUUGUCCGGAUUUAUUGGGCGUAAAGCGAGUGCAGGCGGCUCGAUAAGUCUGAUGUGAAAGCCUUCGGCUCAACCGGAGAAUUGCAUCAGAAACUGUCGAGCUUGAGUACAGAAGAGGAGAGUGGAACUCCAUGUGUAGCGGUGAAAUGCGUAGAUAUAUGGAAGAACACCGGUGGCGAAAGCGGCUCUCUGGUCUGUNACUGACG
rnacentral:rRNA from 1 species